GUGCUCACUUAGGCAGCACAUAUACUAAAAUUGGAACGAUGUAGAAAAGAUUGGCACGGCCCUUGUGCAAAGAUGACACACAAAAUGCAUUAUUGUCCUUAAUCUGU
rnacentral:snRNA from 1 species